AUACACAAGGCGUGUGCCAUAUAUGUUAUCAUGUUUGACAAAUAGUCUAUUCUCCUUAGGCCAAGGUAAAGAAAACAUCACAAAGACCGGAUCAAGCGUAAGAUUAGAAGACAGUGCAAUCAAGAAAUGCAGUGAGUACAAGUAGGUUUUUGUGAUGGUGCACCUUCCUGUUCACCUGUCAGCUCAUUUGUCUGCUCCAGAAUUGUUUUGUGUAGUUCUCUGGGUAAGAACGUUUUGUUUUUCCUCUUCUAUAAGUGAUCUCUUGUGAGCUCCAGUCUCAGUCCUUUAAGAAAAUUU
rnacentral:lncRNA from 1 species